AAAGGAGAAAGCACCUUUGGUUGGGGAGGUUUCCCUUCUCCCAGCUGUGGAGGUUCAGGUGGGAUUGCUUUUGAGCUUGUAGGCCCAUCUCUGAAUGCAGGCACCUGCGCAAACAGAGCUCUACUGCAAAGCAAAGAGUAAGGAUGGAAAGGAGAGAUCUGAAGGCUCUGUGUGUGUGGAUUCCUUUGGUGCCUUACACUGUGAGCAAUCCCGCAGUCUAAGGGCUGUGUCAGUCUGCAGCUGGUUCUGAAAGGCUCACCAUGAAAAUAGCUCGGCAGUGAGGAAGCAGCGGGGAGGAGAUGGCCUGUGUACUAUCCUGUGCUGCUAUUGUCUCAGUCGUGUCUGAAUGGACUUGCAAGCCUCUUCCACCAAGAGCUGGUCUUUUCUCCUCCUCUGCUACUUACUUUUCCCACUUUCAUGUUUUGUACUUCAGAGCCGGGCGCUCUGCUAGCUAGGGUCAGCAGUGGGUCAUGACUUGUGACAUGAGGUUAAUGCAGUUGUUAAGUAACAGCAAGAGACUUCCAGUGGCAUGAAUAUUCCUCUCCACCUUCUCCCAGACGUGCACACGCUCGCUGUCUCAGCCUGAGCCCAACACUUCGUUAACAUAGGGGUGACUGUGUGAUGCGUGCACAACAUGAGCUGCGAUCCUACUUACGUCAGCUACCACGUGCUCAAUCAAACAAGCUGUUCAGUGGGUAGCACAGAGAGGCUUCCAAUAUCUUUAAAAAGUUGGAAGCAUGUAGCGACUGCCUUCUGAUGGCUGGAAAUGGAUGAUGGAUAAUGACAGCACUGUUGGCACCACACUGUGAGCAGGAACAGAAGCAUGCAGGCUGAUCACAAUCUCUGAGCUUGUCCACAGUGCCCGUUUGCUUUAAGGAGGGCUGUGUAUGCUUAAGAGAAGCUCUGGUGAUCCGGAUAAGAUUUUCAGAGAUGUAAAAAUCGUGGAAUUGUAUUGCAGGUUUGCAAAUGUUUGCAGUCAGAGCACUUUGAUGUGAAGGCUGUCUUUUGUGGGGGCGGAGGGAGAGGAAG
ensembl:lncRNA